GACGAACCGUGCAACCGUUAUUCGGAAUCACUGGGCAUAAAGGGCGCGUAGGCGGCUCCAAAAGUCAGGGGUGAAAUCCGGCAGCUUAACUGUCGCAGUGCCUUUGAUACUGUGGAGCUAGAGGGAGGUAGGGGUCUGUGGAACUUCCGGUGGAGCGGUGAAAUGCGUUGAUAUCGGAAGGAACGCCGGUGGCGAAAGCGACGGACUGGAUCUCUUCUGACGCUGAGGCGCGAAAGCCAGGGGAGCAAACGGG
rnacentral:rRNA from 1 species